rnacentral:rRNA from 1 species
CGCCCUCCCGUCCGGCCGCCACUCAGACUCGACGGGGCAGGCAGUGGGGAAUAGUUGCGCAAUGGACGAAAGUCUGACGCAGCGACGCCGCGUGUGGGAUGGAAGCCUUUACGGGGGUGUUAAACCGACUAGUUGCCCGGGUACGAAACCGUCUACCUUUCGAGGUAGAUUGACGGUACCGGGUGAGGGAAGCACCGGCUAACUCUGUGCCAGCAGCCGCGGUAAUAC